rnacentral:ncRNA from 1 species
AUUAUGGAGAGUUUGAUCCUGGCUCAGGACGAACGCUGGCGGCGUGCCUAAUACAUGCAAGUCGAGCGGAGUUGAUGAGAAGCUUGCUUCUCUGAUACUUAGCGGCGGACGGGUGAGUAACACGUAGGCAACCUGCCCACAAGAUCGGGAUAACAUUCGGAAACGAAUGCUAAGACCGGAUAAACAGUGCUCUCGCAUGAGAGGGCUGGGAAAGACGGAGCAAUCUGCACUUGCGGAUGGGCCUGCGGCGCAUUAGCUAGUUGGUGAGGUAACGGCCCACCAAGGCGACGAUGCGUAGCCGACCU